UGGAGGGAUGCCCGAGUGGUUAAAGGGGACGGACUGUAAAUCCGUUGGCUAUGCCUACGUUGGUUCAAAUCCAACUCCCUCCACC
rnacentral:tRNA from 1 species